UUGUUACGAGACCGAUAGCGAACAAGUACCGUGAGGGAAAUUUGAAAAGAACUUUGAAGAGAGAGUUCAAGAGUACGUGAAACCGUUCAGGGGUAAACCUGUGAAACCCAAAAGAUCGAAUGGGGAGAUUCAUCGUCAGCGUUUUURGUAUUAAUGCAAGCUAUGAUGUGAUAAUAGAAUCCUUGUGAUYACUAGAUUAUACUUGYUUGUAUUAUUUUUGCYAAAUUCGUCGGCGUGCACUUCUCCUCUAGUAGRACGUCGCAACCUGUUGGAUGUUUAUCUAUGGCUYAAYUGGUAGCCUUUAGUAUUUUAUUAUACUGAAGACCUUUGGUGUCCUGAUAAACUGUUUGACAGUAUACAUAUGGUAUUGAGCCGCARUYAUUUGCGUUAGACUUACCGCAAGCGUGAUUUUCUCCUGGUAGUGCGGAUUUAAUGCCGUCGCYGGGAAAAAUCUGCUGUUAGCUGUGUAAUGUCUUUAACUGGCUUAUUUACCGGUUAGCGAUGCUACUGCUUUGGGUACUUACA
rnacentral:rRNA from 1 species